rnacentral:rRNA from 1 species
UACGUAGGGUGCAAGCGUUAAUCGGAAUUACUGGGCGUAAAGCGUGCGCAGGCGGUUUUGUAAGUCUGUCGUGAAAUCCCCGGGCUCAACCUGGGAAUUGCGAUGGAGACUGCAAGGCUAGAAUCUGGCAGAGGGGGGUAGAAUUCCACGUGUAGCAGUGAAAUGCGUAAAGAUGUGGAGGAACACCGAUGGCGAAGGCAGCCCCCUGGGUCAAGAUUGACGCUCAUGCACGAAAGCGUGGGGAGCAAACAGG